UGGGGCCCCGCGGAUUCUAAGGAAAGGUUCCUGGGGACCCAGAUUGGAAGCGCGGAGCGCAGUCAACCAUAGCAGGACGGAAAUAACAGGAAGCUCAGGGCUUUCGGGCGACCCUCAUGAAGGAGGACCGUAUGUGAGGUAGUGAUGAGCCCUAAAGAGGAAAAUAAGGCAGGAAAGGAAGAGUUGCUGUUAUGACUUUGGACACAUCUUCUCCAGUGCUGACUGAAUUUAUUCUGGGCAGAAACUCCAAAUCCUGCUGCUGCUGCAGGACGGCAUAUCUAGAACGAUGGUGCCUGACAGCCGUGAUACGUCCUGGUCUGCUUCUGUUAAAGUGAGGCCUAUAGAACUGUAACCUGAAAAUUAUGCUGACAUAUGUAUCUAUGAAAUAAGUUAUAGCAUACAAAGACAAAAAACAUCAAAAUCUGUAUUAUGUAUUUGGAAAAGGAGGUGUCUGGCUGGGCACCAGUGGCUCACGUCUGUAAUCCUAGUUACUCAGGAAGCAGAGAUCAGAAGGGUCAUGGUUCGAAGCCAGCCCAGGCUGACCCUAUCUUGA